UUGGUGUCAUAUUUAUAUAUUUGUUCAUUUUCUGUCAAAGUCUAAAUCUACCGUGAUUUCUAUACUCGCUUUCCUAUUUUAAAACAAUUCCUUAUGUACUUAGAUUCGAAAUGUGGUUUGCAUUUUUUUUUAUUAUAACUGUGUAGAUGUAGGUUCAGUAUGUGGUUAAAGUUUUAAUAUAUCAAUAACUAAGUUUAUGUCAAACUAUCGUAUAAUUUUACGAUAGCUGGACACAAACUGUUUAUGGUCAAAAGAGCAUCCAGUGCAUCAUGACGAAAUUAUAUAUGAUUUAUUUUCCCGUAAUUUAUGGAUGUUUAAAAGGAAUUUCUGGACGUAUCUACAUUCUGAGGUUAAAAUUUGGUGCAUAUAAAUUAUUUGUAAACCCGUGGUCAAAGUUAAUGAAACUUUCUUGGAGGAAAACGCGUAUAGCGCAAGAAUAAAAUUCCAUCCUGGUAAUUAUGAUGUCGAGUUAAUUUACAUGAUUAAUUUAUAAACCUCCAUAUUUUGUAAUGAAACUUGUGCAGAAAUUAAAUGAAAAUAUUUGAUUUGUUUAAAUCCUGUAAUGGACUGAUAUUGAAUAAACAUAAAAAAAAUUACUAUCUUGAAUCUAAAGAAUGUUGUUAUUGAUAUGAGUUUUCAAUAUUAAACAGGAAUGGUAUGGCAUUCUCAAUAACUUUAAAACUUCCGAAGGCUUAGCACCCGCUCAUCUACUACCAGCUGGUAUGAUUGGCCUGGAUCCAAUAGGGCCUUUA
rnacentral:lncRNA from 1 species